rnacentral:SRP_RNA from 2 species
GCUGGGUGUGGUGGUGGGCGCCUGUAAUCCCAGCUACUUGGGAGGCUGAGGCAGGAGAAUCGCUUGAAUCCAGGAGGUGGAGGCUGCAGUGAGCCGAGAUCAUGCCACUGCACUCCAACCUGGGUGACAGAGCGAGACUCUGUCUCCA